rnacentral:rRNA from 1 species
GGUUGACCUCGGAUCAGGUAGGAAUACCCGCUGAACUUAAGCAUAUCAAUAAGCGGAGGAAAAGAAACCAACAGGGAUUGCCUCAGUAACGGCGAGUGAAGCGGCAACAGCUCAAAUUUGAAAUCUGGCCUUGUGCCCGAGUUGUAAUUUGUAGAGGAUGCUUUCGGCGCGGCGCCUUCCGAGUUCCCUGGAACGGGACGCCACAGAGGGUGAGAGCCCCGUAUGGUCGGAUGCCAAGCCAUUGUAAAGCUCCCUCGACGAGUCGAGUAGUUUGGGAAUGCUGCUCAAAAUGGGAGGUAAAUUUCUUCUAAAGCUAAAUACCGGCCAGAGACCGAUAGCGAAAAAGUAGAGUGAUCGAAAGAUGAAAAGCACUUUGAAAAGAGGGUUAAACAGCACGUGAAAUUGUUGAAAGGGAAGCGCUUGUGACCAGACCUGCGCCCUGGGGAUCAUCCGGCGUUCUCGCCGGUGCACUCCGCUGGGCUGCAGGCCAGCAUCGGUUCUCCUAGGGGGAUAAAAGCUUCGGGAACGUGGCUCCUUAGGGAGUGUUAUAGCCCGUUGCACAAUACCCUUGGGGGGACCGAGGUACGCGCUCCGCAAGGAUGCUGGCGUAAUGGUCAUCAGCGACCCGUCUUGAAACACGGACCAAGGAGUCAAGCAUUAGGGCGAGUGUUUGGGUGCAAAACCCGCACGCGAAAUGAAAGUGAACGUAGGUGAGAGCUUCGGCGCAUCAUCGACCGAUCCUGAUGUUCUCGGAUGGAUUUGAGUAAGAGCCUUACCGCUUGGACCCGAAAGAUGGUGAACUAUGCCUGUAUAGGGUGAAGCCAGAGGAAACUCUGGUGGAGGCUCGCAGCGGUUCUGACGUGCAAAUCGAUCGUCAAAUAUAGGCAUGGGGGCGAAAGACUAAUCGAACUAUCUAGUAGCUGGUUACCGCCGAAGUUUCCCUCAGGAUAGCAGUGUUGUUUUCAGUUUUAUGAGGUAAAGCGAAUGAUUAGGGACUCGGGGGCGCUAUUUUGCCUUCAUCCAUUCUCAAACUUUAAAUAUGUAAGAAGCCCUUGUUACUUUGUUGAACGUGGGCCUUCGAAUGCAGCAACACUAGUGGGCCAUUUUUGGUAAGCAGAACUGGCGAUGCGGGAUGAACCGAACGCGGGGUUAAGGUGCCAGAGUGGACGCUCAUCAGACACCACAAAAGGCGUUAAUACAUCUUGACAGCAGGACGGUGGCCAUGGAAGUCGGAAUCCGCUAAGGACUGUGUAACAACUCACCUGCCGAAUGUAUUAGCCCUGAAAAUGGAUGGCGCUCAAGCGUCCCACCCAUACCCCGCCCUCAGGGUAGAAACGAUGCCCUGAGGAGUAGGCGGCCGCGGGGGCGGUGACGAAGCCCAGGGCGUGAGCCCGGGUCGAACCGCCCCUGGUGCAGAUCUUGGUGGUAGUAGCAAAUACUUCAAUGAGAACUUGAAGGACCGAAGUGGGGAAAGGUUCCAUGUGAACAGCGGUUGGACGUGGGUUAGCCGAUCCUAAGCCAUAGGGAAGUUCCGUUUCAAAGGGGCACUCGUGCCCCGCAUGGCGAAAGGGAAGCAGGUCAAUAUUCCUGCGCCUGGAUGCGGGUUUUUCGCGGCAACGCAACUGAACGCGGAGACGGCGGCGGGGGCCCCGGGCAGAGUUCUCUUUUCUUCUUAACGGUCUACCACCCUGAAAACAGUUUGUCUGGAGAUAGGGUCCCAUGGCCGGAAGAGCCCAGCACCUCUGUUGGGUCCGGUGCGCCCCCGACGUCCCUUGAAAAUCCGCGGGAGGGAAUAAUUCUCGCGCCAGGUCGUACUCAUAACCGCAGCAGG